GCACUGCUUAGGUGUCCCGCAAUAGGACGAAACGGCCGUCCAGUGC
rfam:Schistosoma mansoni, Puerto Rico, WGS project CABG01000000 data, contig: 0203